GCACAGGAUGUUUUCGUUUUGUCCCUGUGGCAGAGAGCCGGGCUGGGGGCGUUUAGGAAACCAGCAAGCGCAGCAUAAACCUACCGUGGCAUAAAUGUAUACCUGCCGCUACCAGGUAAUUGUAAUGCAAAGGCGUGUACUGGUCAGGUUUGUAUUCCACUUGCGUACUACUUGCGUUUGCUGUUGGGCCAGCUGUCGAAAUCCCCAACGCUGUUCACAGAAUUAAGCCUCUAAGCACCUGUUUAUCAGGAUUUAUGUGCCAUUCUCCUCCUAAGGACGUUUAAGUGGUCUAGAUGGUGACCAUCCAGUUUUAGAUUUGCAGCCACCCUGUGAAGGUUGCAUAGCUGUGACAUAAUGCCUAACUCCACACCAGGGGCACCCAGCCAGCUUUGAGGCAAUUGGAUUGUAGCCCGAUCUGAGGUGCAGCAUAGUCGCCCUGUAACCUUGUAUCCCUGGGACAGAUGGGUGCCAAUCAAAUAAACAUUGAGUCUGCAUGUAUGUGCUUGGUCUGAAGAGGUUAAAGCCUUCUGAACUACAGCAUCACAUUUCAUAAGGGGACUUGGGUGGCACUGUGGCCUGAGCCUUACCGAAUGGUUUUCUUUUGCACCAGAAGCGGUUUAGUCAUGCUGGCCACAUGAGCUGGAAAAGCUGUCUGUGGACAAAUGCUCGGCCUGAAAGCAGAGAUGAGCGCCACAUGCACCCCAUAGUCAAAUUUGACUUGACAUAACUGUUCAGGGGUCCUUUACCUUCUUACCUUUCACACUUUAUCCAUUUACAUGGGUCUAACAAUGGUGCAGCUACCAAACAACACAUAAGUGGCUCUUACAAUUACGAACUUGCAUGGAGUAUUCACUAUGUGUACUCUCUAAAGACAACAGCAUAUUAAACAGCAUUGUCACCCCAAUCCUCUAUGCUCUAGUUGAAUGUUGUUUGAUAUUUUGUUUUUGUAAAAUUGUAAAAAUAAAAUCAAUAAUAGUAGUUAGAAUCUGCAAGUUUUUACUGGUAAAUUGAUUAAUUAAAACCUUUAAGCAGAAAAAUACCUCCCUUCCAUUGGCUCUGCCCAGAGGGAAGAAAUCUCCCUUCCUCCUAGAACUCCUUCCUUCUUCUAUAACUCCAUGAACUCUAUAAAGAACAGCCUAUUGGAAUGUGAGUAAUAUUUCUACAUGUGCCUUGAUUCUCUUCAAUAAAUCUAUGUAUGAGAGGUUUGUGGAGUGCUGUUGAAAACUAUCAUGAUUGAGAGAGGUCUCAGGACAGAAUAGGUAACAUUAAUUGCAUGCUGUUUCACAUUCUUUUUAGUAUCUCAG